GUGAAUGCUAGCGAUAUGCUUAACACAUGCGAGUUUAACAGGUUUUACUAGUUUAGAAUUUGUAGCGAACGGGUGAGUAAUGCAUGAGAUACUCUUGCCUAAUAGUUUGGUAUGCGCGUUGUUUAAUAAAAUAAUUCAAAUCCCAAAUAAAGUAUAUAAAUUAAUAUUUAUAUAUAAUAAAGAUUAAUCGCUAUUAGAUAGGCUCAUGUAGGAUUAGGUAGUUGGUGAGGUAAAAGCUCACCAAGCCUACGAUCCUUAGCUGUUCUGGGAGGUUGGACAGCCACACUGGGACUGAGACACGGCCCAGACUUCGUUUGAAGGCAGCAGUGGGGAAUCUUGGACAAUGAGCGAAAGCUUGAUCCAGCAAUAUCGCAUGGGUGAUGAAUGGCGCACAGGCCGUAAAGCCCUUUCGACAAGGACGAUAAUGACGGUACUUGUAGAAGAAACCCCGGCCAAUACCCGU
rnacentral:rRNA from 1 species